rnacentral:rRNA from 1 species
UACGUAGGGGGCGAGCGUUGUCCGAAGUUACUGGGCGUAAAGAGCGCGUAGGCGGGUCUUUAAGUGAGAGGUGAAAGGUUCAGGGCUCAACCCGGACACUGCCUUUCAUACUGGAGACCUUGAGUGCGGGAGAGGCGAGUGGAAUGGCCGGUGUAGCGGUGAAAUGCGUAGAUAUCGGUCGGAACACCCAUGGCGAAGGCAGCUCGCUGGUCCGCAACUGACGCUGAGGCGCGAAAGCGUGGGGAGCAAACAG